CUUUAAAUGAGGACUAGAAUCAACGGCAUCACGAGGAUCCCACUGUCUCCCCCCUCCAAUCAGUGAAACUGAUCUCUCCGUGAAGAAGCGGGGAUACAAAUAUAAGACGAGAAGACCCCAUGGAGCUUUAAACCCAACAGCACCCGUUUAUUUUCAUCCUCACAUAAGUUAGGUUAUGCCUGUUUGGUUUUAGGUUGGGGUGACCACGGAGUAUAAAACAACCUCCAUGAAAAAAGGACCAAAAAUCCUUAUUAGAGAAAGACAUUUCUAAAAUUAAUAAAUUAAUUUUUAAUGAUCCGAUAUUCGAUCAACGAACCAAGUUACCCUGGGGAUAACAGCGCAAUCCACUUCAAGAGCUCCUAUCGACAAGUGGGUUUACGACCUCGAUGUUGGAUCA
rnacentral:rRNA from 1 species